GGAGGAAGGUGGGGAUGACGUCAAAUCAUCAUGCCCCUUAUGCUUAGGGCUACACACGUGCUACAAUGGGUAGUACAGAGGGUUGCCAAGCCGUAAGGCGGAGCUAAUCCCUUAAAGCUACUCUCAGUUCGGAUUGUAGGCUGAAACUCGCCUACAUGAAGCUGGAGUUACUAGUAAUCGCAGAUCAGAAUGCUGCGGUGAAUGCGUUCCCGGGUCUUGUACACAC
rnacentral:rRNA from 1 species